AACGAACGCUGGCGGCGCGCCUAAUACAUGCAAGUCGAGCGAGAAGACGUAGCAAUACGUUUGUAAAGCGGCGAACGGGUGGGGAAUACAUGGGUAACCUACCCUCGAGUGGGGAAUAACUAGCCGAAAGGUUAGCUAAUACCGCGUACGCUCCUUGGACUUCGGUUCAGGGAGGAAAGCGAUACCGUGGGUAUCGCGCUCUUGGAUGGGCUCAUGUCCUAUCAGCUUGUUGGUGAGGUAACGGCUCACCAAGGCUUCGACGGGUAGCUGGUCUGAGAGGACAAUCAGCCACACUGGCACUGCGACACGGGCCAGACUCCUACGGGAGGCAGCAGUAAGGAAUAUUGCGCAAUGGGCGAAAGCCUGACGCAGCGACGCCGCGUGGGGGAUGAAGGUCUUCGGAUUGUAAACCCCUUUCGGGAGGGAAGAUGGAACGAGCAAUCGUUCGGACGGUACCUCCAGAAGCAGCCACGGCUAACUUCGUGCCAGCCGCCGCGGU
rnacentral:rRNA from 1 species